AACGAACGCUGGCGGCAUGCCUAACACAUGCAAGUCGAACGAGACCUUCGGGUCUAGUGGCGCACGGGUGCGUAACGCGUGGGAACCUGCCCUUAGGUUCGGAAUAACUCCCCGAAAGGGGUGCUAAUACCGGAUAAUGUCUUCGGACCAAAGAUUUAUCGCCUUUGGAUGGGCCCGCGUUGGAUUAGCUAGUUGGUAGGGUAAAAGCCUACCAAGGCGACGAUCCAUAGCUGGUCUGAGAGGAUGAUCAGCCACACUGGGACUGAGACACGGCCCAGACUCCUGCGGGGGGCAGAAGGGGGGAAUAUGGGACAAUGGGCGAAAGCCUAACCCAGCAAGGCCGGGUGAGUGAGGAAGGCCUUAGGGUUGUAAAGCUUUUUUCCCGGGGAUAAUAAGGACGGUACGGGGAAAAAAAGCCCCGGCUAACCCCGG
rnacentral:rRNA from 1 species